rnacentral:rRNA from 1 species
GCCGGGGUUUCUUUACCAGGUACUGUCAUUAUCAUCCCUGGCGAAAGAGCUUUACGACCCUAAGGCCUUCAUCACCCACGCGGCAUGGCUAGAUCAGGCUUGCGCCCAUUGUCUAAGAUUCCCC